CGUUUUACGGAGGUCAAGUAGAUACGGAAAAUCGAUGACACGGCGACAGGACAAGUCCAUUUCUUCUCGGCGACUUGGUUUGCUCGAAAUUUCCAAGUUAGUUCUACUAUCAAUGCGGAAACGUUGCACACGUUUGUGCUGGAAUGAGGAUAGUCGCGAAUCCUAAAGUUGAACCAAAGGCAAGCAGAAGUAUAUUUUUGGCGCCGACUGCACAGCAUUGUGGUACUGCUUGUCGAAGUUUAGAAAUGUAUGCCACUUCAACCGACGUCUUGUCAUCAUUCCUAAAGUGUAGAUAAGAAAAGUUAACAAUAGUAAGAUAACAUGAGAAAAAACUGGGAAUAGUAUUACAUUUUUUGAUUGAAGAAAGAAGAAAUGGCAGAAGCCCUAGCUACAUCGAUUUCCUAUACCACAUGCACAAUGAAAUAAAAACAUUUUUUAGUCAGUAAAUAAUUUUUUAAUCAGUUACUUUUCCAGUUACCAAUAUUCGAAUUCUAACUCUUUUGUAACAAUGAUGUUUGUUAUCCACCUGUUUUGAAAAAAAAUUCGAUUGAGAUUUUGUAUUCAACGAUUGUAUUUUUAUUUGAUUGUAUUUUUAUAUUGCAAAUAAUAUAUCAUG